rnacentral:rRNA from 1 species
GUCGAGCGGACAGAAGGGAGCUUGCUCCCGGAUGUUAGCGGCGGACGGGUGAGUAACACGUGGGUAACCUGCCUGUAAGACUGGGAUAACUCCGGGAAACCGGAGCUAAUACCGGAUAGUUCCUUGAACCGCAUGGUUCAAGGAUGAAAGACGGUUUCGGCUGUCACUUACAGAUGGACCCGCGGCGCAUUAGCUAGUUGGUGAGGUAACGGCUCACCAAGGCGACGAUGCGUAGCCGACCUGAGAGGGUGAUCGGCCACACUGGGACUGAGACACGGCCCAGACUCCUACGGGAGGCAGCAGUAGGGAAUCUUCCGCAAUGGACGAAAGUCUGACGGAGCAACGCCGCGUGAGUGAUGAAGGUUUUCGGAUCGUAAAGCUCUGUUGUUAGGGAAGAACAAGUGCAAGAGUAACUGCUUGCACCUUGACGGUACCUAACCAGAAAGCCACGGCUAACUACGUGCCAGCAGCCGCGGUAAUACGUAGGUGGCAAGCGUUGUCCGGAAUUAUUGGGCGUAAAGGGCUCGCAGGCGGUUUCUUAAGUCUGAUGUGAAAGCCCCCGGCUCAACCGGGGAGGGUCAUUGGAAACUGGGAAACUUGAGUGCAGAAGAGGAGAGUGGAAUUCCACGUGUAGCGGUGAAAUGCGUAGAGAUGUGGAGGAACACCAGUGGCGAAGGCGACUCUCUGGUCUGUAACUGACGCUGAGGAGCGAAAGCGUGGGGAGCGAACAGGAUUAGAUACCCUGGUAGUCCACGCCGUAAACGAUGAGUGCUAAGUGUUAGGGGGUUUCCGCCCCUUAGUGCUGCAGCUAACGCAUUAAGCACUCCGCCUGGGGGAGUACGGUCGCAAGACUGAAACUCAAAGGAAUUGACGGGGGCCCGCACAAGCGGUGGAGCAUG